UCAUCUGCCUCCACGGUGUCACCUGGGCCCUCCUCCUCCUCCAAGAUAUCCCCUGCUGCCAUGCAAAUGUUGUGCAGGAUUCAGCAGGCACCUACCACCUUGGGGGCAAACAGAGACCGGAUCUCCAGAUACCGCAGGAAGAUGGCCCGCCAGCGGGUUUUGAGGAUCCCAAAUGACCUCUCCACAAUGUUACGCCCUCUAGCGUGGUGCCUGUUGUAUCUGGCUUCAACCUGACCUGGUAAUCAAAAAUCACAUGGAUGUAUCAGUGUCACCAAACUAACAAUUUGUUUCUGUGCAUGUGUGACAGAAGAGAAGGUGCUUACCGGCUACAGGGUGUCGGUAUGGCGUCAUGAUGGCCACAGGACGCUGCAGGCAUGGGUACCCUCCAUCACCCAGCAAGAAGUACCCAGCUGGUGGCAAAACUUUUAUGUGGCAUCCAUCAAUGGCCCCAGCAGCACAUCUGAAGGCCUCGUGACCUGCCAGGCGAGCAAAGCCAGCCCCCACCGCCUCCAUCUCCUCUGCCUUGGGGAAAUGAAUCACCCUGUGGAGGAUGGCCAUCAUCUCCUCCACCACGCCAUGGACCGUCCUGCAAACUGGACAGGGGCAUCCCGAAGGCAUCUGCCGUUACCCUGUACGAUGCUCCACAGGCCAGCCAGUACACUGCCACCAGCACCUCCACCUCAUGGCUCCAUCCAUGGACUUUUUGCCGGGGCAGCAAGGCAAGCAGCCGGUUGAAGCUCUCCCUGGAGAGCCUGAAGGCUGGCUUCAGGUCCCCUCCAGAGAAAAACAUGGCUAGGAUGGGCACAGUGAUGUUCAGCUGUGUACAGCUGUGAGUUGCUUUGGUCCUGGUACCAAACAAAGAAAAUAAAUAUAUUUUUAUAUGCCAAUGGUUAGGUUCAUAUAUUUUUAGAUUUAUUGCUUAUUUGUGUAUUUUAAUGUACAAUAAAUUGCAAUUAUGUA